CAGUAGCCACGGGAAUACGUAGGUGGCAAGCGUUGUCCGGAAUUAUUGGGCGUAAAGGGCUCGCAGGCGGUUUCUUAAGUCUGAUGUGAAAGCCCCCGGCUCAACUGGGGAGGGUCAUUGGAAACUGGGAGACUUAGAGUGCAGAAGAGGAGAGUGGAAUUCCAUGUGUAGCGGUGAAAUGCGUAGAUAUAUGGAGGAACACCAGUGGCGAAGGCGACUCUCUGGUCUGUAACUGACGCUGAGGCGCGAAAGCGUGGGGAGCAAACAGGAUUAGAUACCCCAGUAGUCCCUGUCUCUUAUA
rnacentral:rRNA from 1 species